rnacentral:rRNA from 1 species
UACGUAGGGUGCAAGCGUUGUCCGGAAUUAUUGGGCGUAAAGAGCUCGUAGGCGGUCUGUCGCGUCGGCUGUGAAAACCCGAGGCUCAACCUCGGGCCUGCAGUCGAUACGGGCAAACUAGAGUACUGCAGGGGAGACUGGAAUUCCUGGUGUAGCGGUGAAAUGCGCAGAUAUCAGGAGGAACACCGGUGGCGAAGGCGGGGUCUCUGGGCCUUACCUGACGCUGGAGGAGCGAAAGCGUGGGGAGCGAACAGG